UACGGGGGGGGUAAGCGUUGUUCGGAAUUACUGGGCGUAAAGGGCUCGUAGGCGGCCAACUAAGUCAGACGUGAAAUCCCUCGGCUUAACCGGGGAACUGCGUCUGAUACUGGAUGGCUUGAGAUUGGGAGAGGGAUGCGGAAUUCCAGGUGUAGCGGUGAAAUGCGUAGAUAUCUGGAGGAACACCGGUGGCGAAGGCGACAUCCUGGACCAACACUGACGCUGAGGAGCGAAAGUCAGGGGAGCAAAGCGGG
rnacentral:rRNA from 1 species